rnacentral:rRNA from 1 species
UACGGGAGGCAGCAGUAGGGAAUCUUCCGCAAUGGACGAAAGUCUGACGGAGCAACGCCGCGUGAACGAUGAAGGCUUUCGGGUCGUAAAGUUCUGUUGUUAGGGAAGAACAAGUACCAGAGUAACUGCUGGUACCUUGACGGUACCUAACCAGAAAGCCACGGCUAACUACGUGCCAGCAGCCGCGGUAAUACGUAGGUGGCAAGCGUUGUCCGGAAUUAUUGGGCGUAAAGCGCGCGCAGGUGGUCCUUUAAGUCUGAUGUGAAAGCCCACGGCUCAACCGUGGAGGGUCAUUGGAAACUGGGGGACUUGAGUGCAGAAGAGGAAAGUGGAAUUCCACGUGUAGCGGUGAAAUGCGUAGAGAUGUGGAGGAACACCAGUGGCGAAGGCGACUUUUCUGGUCUGUAACUGACACUGAGGCGCGAAAGCGUGGGGAGCGAACAGGGAUUAGAUACC